UACGAAGGGGGCGAGCGUUGUUCGGAUUUACUGGGCGUAAAGGGCGCGCAGGCGGCUAGUUUUGUCGAGUGUGAAAGCCCCGGGCUUAACCUGGGAACUGCGCUCGAAACGGGCUGGCUAGAGAUCGGGAGAGGAGAGUGGAAUUCCCAGUGUAGAGGGUGAAAUUCGUAGAUAUUGGGAAGAACACCGGUGGCGAAGGCGGCUCUCUGGACCGAUACUGACGCUGAGGCGCGAAAGCGUGGGGAGCAAACAGGG
rnacentral:rRNA from 1 species